rnacentral:lncRNA from 1 species
GGGGCUGGCGAAAGGGCUGGCGACGGGGCUGCUCCGGUCGCCGCCUCUGGCGGAGCUGGCUGCAGGCCACCGCUGAUCAAUCUGCCGCUGUUGCUGCCCACCUCGACGGGCGCUUUCCUUCCUCCACCCACAACCCAGUUCUUCUCACCCCUCCGGCAGCAGGUGAAACCAGGUGAAAUUUUCCAAGAACACAUCCUCUCCCUUUUCCACUGCCCAGUGAUCCCAUCUGUUUCAGUCCUAGGCCCCUCUAACAUCCACCCAACUCCGAUUUGGCUGUGUGCCUCCCCGUCCCGUCCUCACAACUCCCUCUCUGUUAAAAACAUUCUGAAUUUCUGGUUCAGUUCUUAUGGUUUUUCGUUCUCGGUCUCUUCUUUGGGUUUUGGCUUAUUUCGUUCUUUUGUUGCAAACCGUAAUGUGGCUUCUUCUUUAGUUCUUGCGGGUUCUGCUUUGCUUGAUUCUGCCGGUUUGUCCAUCCAUCUUUCCAAGGAUUCAACUGCUGUUCAGUUGGAGGACGUCAUUGCUAUGCUGGAAAAUAGUCUCUCUAACUCGCCAGAUAGAUCAGGCUCGGGGGGUUUGGUUCUGAUUGAAGUGGAUUCUGCUCUGGUAAUUGUUCCUGCUCCUAUUCCUGCUCUGCCAGUUUCGUCAGUUGUUCAUGCGAGCUCAGCUUCUGAGGCAGUUGGGCAGCAAGGGUCAGAAUAUGUUUCUGCUGAGGUUGUGCAUGUGAUGCCUGCUAUUAGUUCUGUGCUUCUUCCCACUAUAUUUGGACAGCCCGAUGCUACUAUUUCUUCUGCUGCUGUUCCCUCUGUGGAUGCUCCUGUCAGAUCUACGGCGCUUGUGGACUCCACCCCUCCCUCGGAGGAUGCCCCUGUCAUUCUAGAUUCUGUGGUUGUCGAUUUCUCUACAGUGCAGUCCGCAGAGCAAGUGGGCUCUUCUACUACCCAGGUGUUUCAGUCUGCUCCCCUCAGUAGCCUGCCCCCACGUCUGAGAUGUAAGAACAAGGGUUUCCUUACCUGGUUUGGGGCUAAUCCUCUUCUGCCAGCUCCAGUAGCACAAUCUCCUCUGUCCUCUCCCCCUUCUGCGCAAAGGGAUAUAUUUGUCUGCUCUGAACAGCAAGCUUCAUCUCGGGUUAGCCCCACUGCGCAGGAUCCAGUCAGCUCUUGGUCGCCUCCUCAUUCCUCAGGAGGUCCAUCUGCGGCAGAUCAGAUUCGUAAGGCCAUGGCUGGUUUGAGCCCAGAGCAGUCCGAUACCUCUGGCCCAAGGUCCCCAGUGCCUGACACGAGCAUUGCCAACCCAGUUUUAAUCUCCAGCUCAACAGAGGAAUUUGCUUCUCGUGAUACAGACCCUGAUCAGCAGCAGGCUUCAGAUGAAGAUGACUUUGUGGAUAUUUUCCUCCCAUACGUGGACAUGAGGGUUGUGGCUCACUAUGCUUUCGCUUAUGUUAUUCCUCCUUGCGAAACUCCUAGCAGAGUUAUCAGAAAGGCCAUGCAAGCUGCACAUCCAAGUUUCCAGUUCUCCCUUAUUUCUUCUUGCAGAGGUUCUAUGGCCAUGAGAUUCAUUCACCGAAAUGACAGGGAGUUUGCAGUGAAUCAUCAGGACUCCCUUCGGGCAGAGGGACACUCAGUCAUGCUAGAGCGGCUGGAAGAUAGUGCGGCCCGUUCCACUCAACACAACACAAUGCUUUCUGAGUUGGAUUGCGUAGAUUUCCCCCCUGAGUUGCUAUUUCCUAACAAAAUUCGCAACGCUUUUGAGAACUACGGCGAGCUGAUGGAGGUAGAUGAUCAAUGCCUCUAUGGAGAUGAGCAAUCGUCGCUGAGACUUGUGGUGCUUCAUUACCCAGGGAAGAGGAUGACUCCUACUAUGAAGCUGCGUUACAGUUUUGGAGUUGGGGAGCCUGUUCCGGAACAUGAGUGCCAGGAUUCUUCCUUCCUUGAUCUCGAGCCUGAACAUGAACUUUCGGCCAGGAAGCGCCGUAGACAGAAGAAAAUCUCCAUGGACAUUGAUGUGAAGAAACGUUUCAAUGCACGUUUGGCAGCCAAGGAGGGACAAAUGUAUAUUUCAAUGGAAGCAAAAGCUGCACGGGCGAAGAAGCUUAAGGAACAGCUCGCAAAGUGCUCUAGCAAACUCAAUGAGGUGGUCAGCACCCACAAGCUUCUUGAUCUCAACUACAAAACAACUCCGAAAGCUUUAGAGGACCUGGCAAUUGCUUGCAGCCUGGACGACCAUGAUAUUGCACAACUUCGCUCGGUGCUGGCUGUGGUGGAACAAUGCUGUCUCUAUUCCGCCUUUUGA